ensembl:snRNA U6 U6 spliceosomal RNA
GUGCUUGCUUCAGUAGCACUUGUACCAAAAUUAGAAUACAGGGAAAAUUAGCAUGGCUGUUGUGCAUGAAUUAUAUGUAUAUUUGUGAGAUGUUCUCUAUUUUU